rnacentral:rRNA from 1 species
GACGUAGGUGGCGAACGUUAUCCGGAAUCAUUGGGCGUAAAGGGUGCGUAGAUGGCCUGAUAAGUUAGCAGUGGGAAAUCGAGGCUCAACCUCGUGGAAGCUGGUAAUACUGUUAGGCUCGAGUGCAGGAGAAGUUAAUGGAACUCCAUGUGGAGCGGUAAAAUGUGUAGAUAUAUGGAAGAACAUCAAUAACGGCGAAGGCAGUUAACUAUUCUGCUACUGACGUUGAGGCACGAAAGCGUGGGGAGCAAAACGG